rnacentral:lncRNA from 10 species
CUCCUGACCUCAGGUGAUCCACCAGCCUCAGCCUCCCAAACUGCUGGGAUUAGAGAUGUGAGCCACCACCACGCCCGACCAAAACUGCUUCUUAUUAAUCUCUCACUUUUCAUAAAAGUCAUAAUUAACUGUUGAUAUACUUACAUGUUUAUUUGGUAGUGGCAAAUCUAAUACUCUUCAUGCAAACAGUCCCAAAAAUAUCUGUUUGAUAAUUAAGAAAACUCCGAAUAUUAA